CUGUAGCUCAGUGGCAGAGAAUUUGCUUAGCAAGCAGAAGGUCUUGGGUUAAAUCCCCAGCUGGGAGA